rnacentral:rRNA from 1 species
GUCCACGCCCUAAACGAUGUCGACUGGUUGUUGGGGGUUUGACACUCUCAGUAACGAAGCUAACGCGUGAAGUCGACCGCCUGGGGAGUACGGCCGCAAGGUUAAAACUCAAAGGAAUUGACGGGGACCCGCACAAGCGGUGGAUUAUGUGGAUUAAUUCGAUGCAACGCGAAAAACCUUACCUACCCUUGACAUGUCCUAGAGGCUGGAGAGAUCCAGCUGUGCCCGAAAGGGAUCGGAACACAGGUGCUGCAUGGCUGUCGU